CUGCAUACCCCAGGCUCCUCCUGCCAUGCUGCUGUACUCCUGCAGAUUCAGCUUGCAGACCUUUAUAGCCCAGUGGCUCCCAUGCCACUAUGCAGCUCACAGCUCUCUCUCAAGUAGCCUGCUAGCUGAAAAAUCAGGCUAUUUCCUGUGAGGAGGAAAAAUGGGCUCUUCAUCCCCAAACCUGUGUUAAGAAGGCCCAUCGCCACCUGUGAUGGAGAGCAAGCCUGGCCCUCAGCAGGGUGGGGAGAGGACAGCAAUCAGCUCUUAAAUGGGUGAAUGUUGCUCUCAGGGUGUCUUCCUGCUUCAGCAGCAGGAUAAGGAGAUAGAGAAGCUCUCCUUUCCCCCUUUUUUAAGAGAGCGAGGAUCAUCAUUGACCAAAGGAUGGACCGUAAUUUGAAAUACAGUCUUCGUCUUUAAUGAAAGAAGAUUCAAGACUGAGAAAGACUAAGAGAAAUGUUUUAUGAAUAUCUUGAGAAAGACAUGAAAGCAGCAGUAAACAGAAAGGUACAGUGCCCAGUACAA